rnacentral:rRNA from 1 species
GGCCAGACUCCUACGGGAGGCAGCAGUGGGGGAUAUUGCACAAUGGGGGGAACCCUGAUGCAGCGACGCCGCGUGGGUGAAGGAGCGUUUCGGCGCGUAAAGCCCUAUCGGCAGGGAAGAAGGAGGACGGUACCUGACUAAGAAGCCCCGGCUAACUACGUGCCAGCAGCCGCGGUAAUACGUAGGGGGCAAGCGUUAUCCGGAUUCACUGGGUGUAAAGGGAGCGUAGACGGCGACGCAAGUCUGGAGUGAAAGCCCGGGGCCCAACCCCGGGACUGCUCUUGGAACUGCGUGGCUAGAGUGCAGGAGGGGCAGGCGGAAUUCCUGGUGUAGCGGUGAAAUGCGUAGAUAUCAGGAGGAACACCGGCGGCGAAGGCGGCCUGCUGGACCGUGACUGACGUUGAGGCUCGAGAGCGUGGGGAGCAAACAGGAUUAGAUACCCGAGUA